UCCUUCGUGGUGUAGUGCUUAGGACGCUGGGCGUAUAUUCCAGAGGUCCGUGGUUCGAGUCCCGGCGAAGGCG
rnacentral:tRNA from 1 species